rnacentral:tRNA from 1 species
GCCUGGGUGGCACAAUCGGUUAAGCGUCUGACUUUGACUCAGGUCGUGAUCUCACAGCUCGUGGGUUCGAGCCCCGCAUCGGGCU